rnacentral:rRNA from 1 species
GAAUUCUUUGCCUUUUCCCAUUGGGGGAAAGGAACCCAAUGGGGUUUCCUUUGGUAAGGGGGAGGGAAGCGGUAAAAGCUCAAAUUGGAAAUUGGGUACUUUCAGUCCCGGAGUGGUAAUUGGUAGAAUUGGUUUUGGAUUAGUUCUUGUUUUAGGUUCCUGGGACCAGGAGUUCAUGGAGGGUGAAAAUCCCUUUGGGGGAGGAUCCCUUUUUUCGGUAAGACUUUUUGGAAGAUUGGAUUUGUUGGGGAUUCCACUUCAAGGUGGGGGGUAAUUUCCUUUUAAAGUUAAAUAUGGGGGGGAAACGGAUAGGGACCAGGUCCGGGGAGGGAAGGAGGAAAGAAAUUUGAAAAGGGGAGUGAAAAGGUACGGAAAAUGGUGGAAGGGGAGGGCCUUUGGUUCAGCCAGGGUGUUUUUGCCAUGCACUCGCCUCUCGUGGGCUUGGGCCUCUCAAAAAUUUCACUGGGCCAACAUCAAUUCUGGCAGCAGGAUAAAUCAUUAAGAAUGUAGCUACUUCGGAAUGGUAUAACUUUUUGGAAUAACUGUAACCGGGAAUGAAGAAUGGCCCUCCGCCAGGGAUGUGGCCUAAUGGGUUAAUGGCCCCCGGUU